rnacentral:rRNA from 1 species
UGACCUUCUGACCUCAAAUCAGGUAGGGUUACCCGCUGAACUUAAGCAUAUCAAUAAGCGGAGGAAAAGAAACUAACAAGGAUUCCCCUAGUAACUGCGAGUGAAGCGGGAAAAGCUCAAAUUUAAAAUCUGGCGGUCUCUGGCCGUCCGAGUUGUAGUCUGGAGAAGUGUCUUCCGCGCUGGACCGUGUAUAAGUCUCUUGGAACAGAGCGUCAUAGAGGGUGAGAAUCCCGUCUUUGGCAUGGGCUACCAGUGCUUUGUGAUGCGCUCUCAAAGAGUCGAGUUGUUUGGGAAUGCAGCUCAAAAUGGGUGGUAAAUUCCAUCUAAAGCUAAAUAUUGGCGAGAGACCGAUAGCGAACAAGUACCGUGAGGGAAAGAUGAAAAGCACUUUGGAAAGAGAGUUAAACAGUACGUGAAAUUGCUGAAAGGGAAACGCUUGAAGUCAGUCGCGUUGGCCAGGACUCAGCCUUGCUUUUGCUUGGUGUACUUUCUGGUUGACGGGCCAGCAUCGAUUUUAACCACUGGAAAAAGGCUGAGGGAAUGUGGCACCCUCGGGUGUGUUAUAGCCUUCAGUCACAUACAGUGGUUAGGAUCGGGGACCGCAGCACGCCUUUAUGGCCGGGGUUCGCCCACGUUCGUGCUUAGGAUGCUGGCGUAAUGGCUUUAAACGACCCGUCUUGAAACACGGACCAAGGAGUCUAACAUGCCUGCGAGUGUUUGGGUGGAAAACCCGAGCGCGUAAUGAAAGUGAAAGUUGAGAUCCCUGUCGUGGGGAGCAUCGACGCCCGGACCUGAACUUCGGUGAUGGAUCUGCGGUAGAGCAUGUAUGUUGGGACCCGAAAGAUGGUGAACUAUGCCUGAAUAGGGUGAAGCCAGAGG